AUCAGGUGUGCUUUAUUAGGGUUGGAGUGAAAACCUAAAGGAUGGUAGCUCUCCAGGAACAGGGUUGGAGAGCGCUGCGUUAGAGGAUCCACUUUUUAGGAGAAUAAAAAUUAUACAAAAGGUGUAACAAGGCACUGGACAAGUUUAAGAGACUGGCACAUUGCUGGUAGGUAGACAGCAGAGACUGGCACAUUGCUGGUAGGUAGACAGAGACUGGCACAUUGCUGGUAGGUAGACAACAGAGACUGGCACAUUGCUGGUAGGUAGACAACAGAGACUGGCACAUUGCUGGUAGGUAGACAACAGAGACUGGCACAUUGCUGGUAGGUAGACAACAGAGACUGGCACAUUGCUGGUAGGUAGACAACAGAGACUGGCACAUUGCUGGUAG